AGUGAACGCUGGCGGUAGGCCUAACACAUGCAAGUCGAACGGCAGCACAGUAAGAGCUUGCUCUUACGGGUGGCGAGUGGCGGACGGGUGAAGAAUACGGCGUAAUCUACUUUUUCGGGGGGGAUAACGUAGGGAAACUUACGCUAAUACCGCAUACGACCUACGGGUGAAAGCAGGGGAUCUUCGGACCUUGCGCGAUUGAAUGAGCCGAUGUGGGAUUAGCUAGUUGGUGGGGUAAAGGCACACCAAGGCGACGAUCCGUAGCUGGUCUGAGAGGAUGAUCAGCCACACUGGAACUGAGACACGGUCCAGACUCCUACGGGAGGCAGCAGUGGGGAAUAUUGGACAAUGGGCGCAAGCCUGAUCCAGCCAUACCGCGUGGGUGAAGAAGGCCUUCGGGUUGUAAAGUCCUUUUGUUGGGAAAGAAAAGCAGCAGGUUAAUACCCCGCUGUUCUGACGGUACCCAAAGAAUAAGCACCGGCUAACUUCGUG
rnacentral:rRNA from 1 species